rnacentral:rRNA from 1 species
AGUCACUGACAUUAGAUACCCGGGUAGUCCAGGGUGUAAACGCUGCAGACUUGGUGUUGGAAGCCCUUUGGGGCAUUCAGUGCCGGAGAGAAGUUGUUAAGUCUGCUACUUGGGGAGUACGUCCGCAAGGAUGAAACUUAAAGGAAUUGGCGGGGGAGCACCGCAACGGGAGGAGCGUGCGGUUUAAUUGGAUUCAACACCGUAAACUCACCAGGGAAGACUGUUACAUGAAGGCCGAGAUGAAGACUCUGCUAGAUUUUCAG